GUGUGGCCGGCAGGCGGGUAGGCGGGGGCGGCCGGUGGGAACCCCGCCCCGCGCCCGCGCUCACCCGCCCAUCUCCCCGCAG
ensembl:miRNA